rnacentral:lncRNA from 1 species
GCAGGAAGGAAGGAGGGGAGGGGAGUGUUCCUUAACAUACUAUGAUCCCUGGCUUUAUUUUAGCAGUAAGUGAAACCUGAGACAGCCCCUUACUAAUCACCUUGAGGUUAGCAGCGGACAAGGGGUCUCAUGCACUCAGUCAAAAAGGCAAGGCUUACAGAUGCUGUAAGGAGAACGUUAGGGGACAACUUGCACAAAAGACUGCUGGAGAGGUAUGGCGCUUACGUACCCUUGAAGGACGUCAUCAUAUUCAUCCGCUAAAAACUAAGGAGCUGCGAAGGUAUCCCAAAAUUGGUCCGUGGGAGUACAGCCCAAGACCCGGAGAGGGGUCGCCCUGUUUGCCUCCGGAAGUAAAACUUAAUGAUCACGUUGUAGUUGGUGUUUGAACUUGUAGAAUAUGCGAUGAGGUUCUAUUUAGGACGGAGUCUGAAUGCCUCACUUGCCAGCAUGCGGCUUGUGGGAAGAAAACCAGCCUGGGGAACAUCAGAGCUAAGAGAUGGCAGAAAAACCGGGUCAGAACACCUGUCUUUGUGCCCCUGGACCAAACCACACGUUGAUGGAAUAUCUACGUGACCUGGCACGUGCCUACAUCCCUGGACGCAUCCUGUGCGGCUUUCCCCUCACCCACUCGGCCCCUCCACCGGAGUCUCUCACCCCUGCUCACUCCCACCGGCGGGACUUUGACCACCUGCUCCCUCUCCUCCGAAGCUUCUGGAACACACAAUGCACGUGCAUCCAAGCGAUACAAGAGACCCCGCAGAGGAGAAAGAGGCCUGCAGGUGCCUGUGCUUCCCACUUUCUCACAGAGCCUUUUCCUGUGUGGUUUGUGCAACCAAGAACAUCUACUCUACUGAGUUUUCCCAAAAUUAAACAGCAGCACACUAAAUAA